rnacentral:rRNA from 1 species
UGAACGCUGGCGGCAUGCCUAACACAUGCAAGUCGAUCGGUAAGGCUCUUCGGAGUACACGAGAGGCGGACGGCUGAGUAACGCGUAGGAACACACCCUGCAGUGAGGGAUAAGACACCGAAAGGUGUUCUAAUACCGCAUACGGUCUUCGGAUUAAAGCAUUUAUGCGCUGAAGGAGUGGCCUGCGUCAUAUUAGAUAGUUGGUGAGGUAAUGGCUCACCAAGUCGAUGAUGUGUAGCUGGUCUGAGAGGAUGAUCAGCCAGACUGGAACUGAGACACGGUCCAGACUCCUACGGGAGGCAGCAGUGAGGAAUAUUUCACAAUGAGCGAAAGCGUGAUGGAGCAAUGCCGCGUGCAGGAUGAAGGCCCUAGGGUUGUAAACUGCUUUUAUAAGAGAAGAUUAUGACGGUAACUUAUGAAUAAGGGACGGCUAACUACGUG